CAAUAGCGUAUAUUUAAGUUGUUGCAGUUAAAAAGCUCGUAGUCGGAUUUUGGCUGAGAACGAUCGGUCCGCCGUUAGGUGUGCACUGAUUGGUCUCAGCUUCCUGGUGAGGAGGUGUGCUUCACGGCCACUUAGUCACCGUGGUUACUUUGAAAAAAUUAGAGUGUUCAAAGCGGGCUUACGCUUGAAUAUAUUAGCAUGGAAUAACACCAUAGGACUCCUGCCCUAUUUCGUUGGUCUCGGGACGGGAGUAAUGAUUAAGAGGAACAGUUGGGGGCAUUCGUAUUUCAUUGUCAGAGGUGAAAUUCUUGGAUUUAUGAAAGACGAACUUCUGCGAAAGCAUUUGCCAAGGAUGUUUUCAUUGA
rnacentral:rRNA from 1 species